rnacentral:lncRNA from 1 species
GGUGCCUGAGGAAGUUGCGGUGGCUGGUACCUGACAGCUGGGGAGCAAGUGGCGGCGUGCCGCGGGGAUAAAGCCUUUCCCCUUCUGGGAACCCAGCUCGGAUCGGAGGCCGCGCCGUGUUUCUCACCCACGAUCCCCAUGCACUAGAAGUGAGGUGCAGGCUCCCUGAACGUUGCUUCUAAAGAGGCUUAAUGAUUCCAUGGUAUGGCACGAAAUAAAUCCGCAAC